CUUCUUCCUUUAGGUACUGGGGUGAUGGGGGAAAAAAGCUGCUGAAUAUCUUCUUCAUAAUCAUGUUCAUCUACUGGAAAAUGGUUGUUGGGUUGAGUUGAAUUUGGUCUCCUACAAAACAAACCAGCAAAGCUACUGUCAGCCAGCCAUGCUCCACCAAGUGCCUCAAAUAAGGACAGAAAUACCCAGGUUCAUGGCUGAAUUCAGGAUCUCGUUUGCUUACCCAUGGGCAAUUGCAAAAACCACCUAAAAUGUGUUCUUCAAGCAUUCUUCUCCAGUCUACCCUCCACACUUGCCAUCUGGGUCAUCUUUCGAAAACAUCACUUCCUGCUGAAAUGCAGGAUCCCCAGACCUACAGGAUACAAGCAAAACUGCUCACUUGGGUGUACGCGUGUUUUAGAACCUGGAUCCACCUAAGAUUUUUAGUUUUAUCCUUUAAGGGUGAGAGGACCGGUAGGUGUGAGGUGCACGUUAGAAUACCUUUGUGAAAGAAGGAGUUUUAAUAAUUACACUGGGAAAACAAGCACAAAACAGACUGUUGAGGUAAAUCAGGAAAUAUGAUUACUUUACUUAAGAGUCCACACUGAAGACUUUUUAACAUUUUCUAAACUUUCCCCAGAUAAGUCAGUUUCUCUCUCUUCUGUGCUCCCAGAGUACUUGGAAUGUUCCUUUAUUAGCAAUUUCACAAAGUUUUGUGGGCAUCCUUAUCAUAGCUAUUUCCCCCCACUAGGUUCACAUGUCCAAGAAAUCAAAGAUGCACCUUUGCAUUUUGAGUACCAAGCACAAAGCACAUACUUACAAGGUGUGUAAUAAAUGUUUCUGGAUGGUGAAUUAAUAAA